GACGAACGCUGGCGGCGUGCCUAAUACAUGCAAGUAGAACGCUGAAGGAGGAGCUUGCUUCUCUGGAUGAGUUGCGAACGGGUGAGUAACGCGUAGGUAACCUGCCUGGUAGCGGGGGAUAACUAUUGGGAACGAUAGCUAAUACCGCAUAAGAGUAGAUGUUGCAUGACAUUUGCUUAAAAGGUGCAAUUGCAUCACUACCAGAUGGACCUGCGUUGUAUUAGCUAGUUGGUGAGGUAACGGCUCACCAAGGCGACGAUACAUAGCCGACCUGAGAGGGUGAUCGGCCACACUGGGACUGAGACACGGCCCAGACUCCUACGGGAGGCAGCAGUAGGGAAUCUUCGGCAAUGGACGGAAGUCUGACCGAGCGACGCCGCGUGAGUGAAGAAGGUUUUCGGAUCGUAAAGCUCUGUUGUAAGAGAAGAACGAGUGUGAGAGUGGAAAGUUCACACUGUGACGGUAUCUUACCAGAAAGGGACGGCUAACUACGUG
rnacentral:rRNA from 1 species